rnacentral:lncRNA from 1 species
UUGGUGGAUGCAGGUCUCACUCCUGCCCUGGUCUCUCCCGGGGGAGCUCAGAGGUGUCCAGCCUCUCCCAGUUUGGAGCCUUACAAUAUUUUGGAGAGGGAAAGGGCUGGGGGCUCCCCCUGCUCUGUGGGGGUCUUCCUUGUUGGAAGAGUAGCACAGAUCCUCAGAGGGGUCCUCGUGUUAAAGCCUAAAAUCAGAGAGGAGCGGGCAGACAAACAAGGGCUCGGUGAUGGAGCGGAAGGAUGAUGAAGAGCUGGGCUGUUGGAGUCGUGGACAAAAAAUGAAUGCUGGGAUGGAGGGAGGGAUGGCACCUUGGGGCAGAUCUGCAGACAGACAGACAUUCAGCUGGUGGAAUCACUGCACAAGAGACCCACGGGUACGUUUCUUCCUCAUCAUCAUCAUCCCUGGAGCAGAGGAAGGGAUGGCCAGCCCCAGGAACUGACAGGGUUUGGCACAGCUCCCCAGCAGCUAUCCCAAAACCCACCCUGGCCCAUUCUCCAUCCCCUUUGACAAGGAAACACAGAGGACCACUGGCAGGAGGCACUUCUGCCCACCACCAUCCUCACCCCAGGAGGAUCAGCCUCCCUUCCUUCCCCCCUCCCCAAACCACAGCCCAGCCGGGGGGGACAGCCAGCCCUGGCAAUCUCACAGCCCCCCCAGCCCAGCCGCAUUGUCCCUCCGAGAUGCCUCCUUCCCCCUCCCCAACACCCCCCGUCUCUCCUGGCAAAUUCUCCCCCCCUCCCCUCCUCCUGGAUCCAGCCGCUCUCAUAAUAGCAUCCUUUUCAUGGAGACAAAUUGUCCAGCCGGGGGCUGCACCUGAGGGCUUUCACCCUUUAACAAAUAGCCUUUUAAUUUUCUGCCAGAAGGGCAUGGAAAAGGGGGGGGACGAGGGGAAAAAAAAGGGGGGGGGCUGCAGAGGGGGGUUGCACAGAGGAGAGAGAAUCAAUCAGACAUCCAUCUUCAUCAUUGCUGCCAGGGGACCGCUUGCACUGGCUGGAUGCCCCUGGGGGAAGGUGGGGUGAAAAAGAGAAGGGGUUGGGGCGAGGGGGAGACAGGAGGCAGUGA